CAGGGGCAUUUUCGUAAUUUUACAUUAUAGUUAGAUGGAAAAAAAAUAAAGAACAUUGAUGCUUGCUGAGAAUGAGAUUCGAACCCCAACCACCCACUUUUCAGAAAGAGUCACCACCUUUUCCAGCUCCUCAGCCGUCCUCAUUCUUAUGACUCAAAUCAAUUCUAUCUAGAUUUAUACAGCUUACGCUAAACUUUAUUUGUUUCUUCCUGUUUUGUCCUGACUUAUCUUCCCUUUCCACCGACUUUCUGCUCUAAGUCUCUCUUAUUUUCAAAAACUAAGAACUCGCUCACUCUUCCACUCUCUCAGCUGCCACAAACACAAGCCCCACUACGAAAAGGAAGAUGAAUAUGUACGCAUGGAUAGCAGUCUCAUGCCUCCCAAGUACAUCGCGCUCUGGGUAUGAACUGGAGCCCACCUCCUCGCCAAUUGUGAAGAAGAGUAGUUGGCUCAUGAGCAAAUGAAGCAUGUCGAAGCUUGAAAAAGCAUGAUAUCUUCCUCUUCAUUCUCGAACGUAUUAUUCCUCACUCGACACUCUCUUCGUUUCUAUUCGCCUUAUUCUCUAUUCUCUUUCAAAGCUCUUAUUCACCACAUCUCAAACGCAUUUCUCCAAUUUAACCCCAAACUCUUGAACCCCCAUUUUGUUUCCAAAUUACAGCCCAACCAUGUCCACCACAUCCCUCUCAGCCUCCAAUCCAAUUCCAUUUCCGCCUAUCACUUGCUUGAUUGGUCCUGUAACUCUCCCGGCUUACACCACUCCCCACAGUCCUUUUGUGCCCUUACUCAUCUGCUGCUCCGUCACCGAAAGCUGGCUCCGGCUUCACACCUUUUCAAUACAAUGGUACGCCAAUUUGGGACUCAUUUUCACUUUUUUGCUGCUUUUUCUGAGAUUUCUCCCAAUUAUGCUUCGGAUUCUAGUGAUCUUUAUAGCUUUCUGAUUGAGAACUUUUGUCGGAAUGGGAUGCUAGAUUCGUCUAUUGAGACAUUCAUUCAUAUGUGUAAAUUGGGAGUUCCGGUGUCUGCUUAUGUGUUAUCUAGAAUGUUGACUUUUUUGGUUGAUUCAAAUUGUGUCCAUGUGAUUCUUGAUUUAUAUGGACAAGUGUGUAAAGCAUUGAGAGGACAGUGUUUCUGUGCGUAUGAGUUUGUUAUGGUUGCUCUUCUAAACAAGGGUAAAGUUGAAACGGGUGUGGAUUUUCAUUCCGCUGUGAUUGAAGGAGGCUUUGUGGUUGAUAUUGUUGCUUGUAACAAGAUUUUAAAGCGUCUUUGUAAAGAAAAUCUGAUUGGAGUUGGGGAAGAUUUCUUUAAUGUAUUGAUGAUGGGUGGUCCCGAGCCAAAUGUGGUGACAUUCAGCACGAUGAUUAACGCGUAUUGUAAGGAUGAGAAAUUGGAGGAGGCCAUUAAGCUUUAUAAGGUUAUGAUAGAGAAGGGUGUCAGCCCUGACUUGGUUGUAUAUAGUAUUCUAGUUGAUGGUCUUUUUAAGGCAGGGAAAUUGGAGGAGGGGCUUCGACUGUUUUCAGAGGCAUUAGGUAGCGACAUUAGGUUGGAUGUAGUCAUUUUCAGUUCUGUUAUGGAUGCCUAUGUGAGAAUUGGAGACUUGGUGAAGUCAGUGGAGGUCUACGGAAGAAUGCUGAAAGAGGGGAUCUCGCCAAACCCUGUUAGUUACACCAUUCUUAUAAAUGGUAUGUGUCAGGAUGGUAAGGUCAUGGAGGCUUGUGGCAUAUUCGGUCAGAUUGUGAAGUGUGGUUUUGUGCCAUCCAUUCUAACUUACAGUAGUUUGAUUGAUGGAAUGUGCAAAUUGGGGAAUUUAAAGGAUGCAUUUUACCUGUAUGAGAGUAUGAUCAAGACUGGCUAUGAACCUGAUAUUAUUCUUUAUGGUGUGCUAGUAAAUGGCCUUUGCAAACAGGGGCUGAUGGGUGAUGCUCUUAGGUUUUUCUUUCAGGCUGUUUAUAGGGGUGUAAAGCCCAAUGUCUAUACUUUUAAUAUGUUAAUAGAUGGUUGCUGUAGAUUAAAAAGACUAAGUGAUGCUGUGAAGGUGUUCAUCCAAAUGGGAGUUUAUAACGUAAAACCUGAUAUGGUGACGUAUACUGUGAUUAUUAAGGGUAUCUCUGAAGUAGGGAGAUUAAAAGAUGCGUUAGUAUUUUUUUUCCAAUCAUUAAAGAAGGGGUUCUUGCCCGAUGUUGUUAUGCAUUGCACACUAAUUGAUGGUUGCUGCAAGCAGAAACAUGUGUAUUAUGGACUCCGAAUUCUAGAGAUGAUGCGAAGAAAUGGAGUAAGUCCUGAUAUUGCCAUUUAUAAUGUUCUCAUUAAUAUGCUUUUCAAAGAAAGUUAUUUAGAAGCUGCACAAGAACUCUUUGAGCAACUUACUGAAAGUGGGCCAGAACCUGACAUUGUUACGUACAACACAAUGAUUUGUGGUUAUUGCUCUCUGAGAAGGUUAGAAGCAGCUGUUCAACUUUUUCAAAAGCUGAUACAGGGACAGUGUAAACCCAAUGCCAUUACUUGUACUAUACUGAUUGAUGCUUUUUGCAAAGAAGGUAACAUGGAUGAUGCCAUGUUGAUGUUUGAUAAAAUGCGGGAAAAGGAUCCCGAACCAAAUUUGGUCACAUAUAGUUGUCUUAUUGAUGGUUAUUUUAAAUCUGAAAACAUGAAAAGUGCAUUUGAACUGCACGAAGAGAUGCUUAAAAACAUCUCUCCCAAUAGAGUCAGUUAUAGCAUCCUCAUGGAUGGUCUUUGCAAGAGAGGACUAACGGAGAGAGCAUCCCUUGUGUUUCAUUGUGCUAUAGAAAGGGGUUUGUUGCUUGAUGUAAUAGCAUAUGGGAUUCUGAUUCGUGGUUACUGCAAGGUAGGAAGAAUGGCAGAAGCCCUCAUUUUGUACGGCCAUAUGUUAAUUAGUGGCAUCAUGCCGGACGCUGUCAUACAAAGGACGAUCACUGAGCAUAUUCUUGAAGCUGAUCAACAGAAAUAAUCGACCACUCAACCGCAUGAUCUGCAGAUAAGAUCUGUUCUGUAAUACAGUGUGCCAUUUGGAGCCUGCGUGGUCAUCUUUUUGCACCCUUUACCUAUCUGGUACUACCUACUAGCUAAUUGUUCUACUAGCAACAUAAUUUUCUAAGCCCAGGAUCAAGGAUCUUCAUGUCACAUCCCGGGAUCGGCUCUGCCGUAGCACGAUAUUGUUCGCUUUGGGCCCUCAUCUCUGCCUUCACGGUUUUGUUUCUGGGAACUUAUGAGCAACUUCUCAGUGGGUCACUUAUCCUGGGAUUGCUCUAGUCCCAACUCGCUUAACUUCGGAGUUUCCAUGACUCCGAAGUCAGUGAGCUCUCAAAAGGCCUCGUGCUAGAUGGAGACGGGCAUGUACAUAUAGGCACAUCACCCCCUCUCUGUUGGUCGAUAUGGGAUGUUACAUUUCAAGUUCGAUCUCUUGUUUACAAAUAUAAUGCCGGAGAGACUACUAGCUCUCAUGUCAUUAUCAUCAUCAAGGAUCUUUAGGUCCUGAUAUAGUUAUAUGAUGAAUGAGCUUCUAGUUCUGAUCUUUGUACUUGUAAAAACUCAUCAUAUUGCAUAAUUAAUUCAUAAAAUAAAUUGCUGGUAUGGAU